AAUGGGCGAAAGCCUGAUCCAGCAAUGCCGCGUGAGUGAAGAAGGCCUUAGGGUUGUAAAGCUCUUUCGCCUGCGACGAUGAUGACGGUAGCAGGAGAAGAAGCCCCGGCUAAUUCCGUGCCAGCAGCCGCGGUAAUACGGAAGGGGCUAGCGUUGUUCGGAAUCACUGGGCGUAAAGCGCGCGUAGGCGGCUUGGCAAGUGAGGCGUGAAAGUCCUGGGCUCAACCCGGGGACUGCGCUUCAGACUGCUUGGCUUGAGUCCGGAAGAGGGUGGUGGAAUUCCGAGUGUAGAGGUGAAAUUCGUAGAUAUUCGGAGGAACACCGGCGGCGAAGGCGGCCACCUGGUCCGGAACUGACGCUCAAGUGCGAAAGCGUGGGGAGCAAA
rnacentral:rRNA from 1 species